CCCUUAGACGUUCUGGGCCGCACGCGCGCUACACUGACACAGGCAACGAGCUUUCCUUUACCGAAAGGUAUGGGUAAUCUUUUGAAACUGUGUCGUGCUGGGGAUAGAUCCUUGCAAUUUUUGAUCUUAAACGAGGAAUUCCUAGUAAGCGCGAGUCAUCAACUCGCGUUGAUUACGUCCCUGCCCUUUGUACACAUCGCCCGUCGCUACUACCGAUUGAAUGGCUUAGUGAGGCCUCAGGAUCCGCGCUUAAUGUGUGGAGAAUUUGGACAAACUACGUCAUUUAGAGGAAGUAAAAGUCGUAACA
rnacentral:rRNA from 1 species